GCUAUUUUUCAAAGUUGCUUCUUUUGGCUUAUUGUGGCCAUGGGUUAAUUUUUCAGGUGUUCAAAGAACUUGGUGUUGAAAAGUGUGACCCUACAAAUGAACAAUUUGAUCCAAAUAGGCAUAAUUCAGUGUUUCAAGGCUCCUGGCGUGGUUGUCGUUUGUCUUAAGCCGGGAUACUCCUUGUAUGACCGAAUUAUUCGGCCUGCUGAAGUUGGUGUGCCUGUAGACGUGGAGAGUACAGAGGCCAAUGCCAAUCAAAGUACCAACGCUUAAAUGGAUGGCUCACUACCAAGACGUAAAAGAGCUUUAGUGUUAUCUCCGACAAACUUCUUGCUGUUUAAACUCAAAUCAUUUUGUUCUAUAGGCGAUUUGAGUUUUAGAUCCUCCUUCCAUUGUGCAGAUGGUAAGCUAUAGGUUGGUUUGUGAUUAAUCUACUGUUGUGUUAAAUUGUUAUAAUGAAAUCUCUCUGGCUCUCACGA